GACGAACGCUGGCGGCGUGCCUAAUACAUGCAAGUAGAACGCUGAAGGAGGAGCUUGCUCUUCUGGAUGAGUUGCGAACGGGUGAGUAACGCGUAGGUAACCUGCCUGGUAGCGGGGGAUAACUAUUGGAAACGAUAGCUAAUACCGCAUAACAUUGACUAUUGCAUGAUAGUCAAUUAAAAGGUGCAAAUGCACCACUACCAGAUGGACCUGCGUUGUAUUAGCUAGUUGGUGGGGUAACGACUCACCAAGGCGACGAUACAUAGCCGACCUGAGAGGGUGAUCGGCCACACUGGGACUGAGACACGGCCCAGACUCCUACGGGAGGCAGCAGUAGGGAAUCUUCGGCAAUGGACGGAAGUCUGACCGAGCAACGCCGCGUGAGUGAAGAAGGGUUUCGGAUCGUAAAGCUCUGUUGUAAGAGAAGAACGAGUGUGAGAGUGGAAAGUUCACACUGUGACGGUAUCUUACCAGAAAGGGACGGCUAACUACGUG
rnacentral:rRNA from 1 species